AAAUCUUACCGGGUCCGGACACACUGAGGAUUGACAGGCAAUAUUAAAAAUUAUUAUUUUAAUUUUUUUCGAAAAAUUUUAAUAUAUUUUUAUGUUAAAUACGCUAGUCCUUUCAUGAUUAUGUGAUAGGUGGUGCAUGGCCGUUCUUAGUUCGUGGAGUGAUCUGUCUGCUUAAUUGCGUUUCACCUUAGGGCUUAUAAAUUACGUGUGUUGCGGCACUUUGACCCCCUUGUUGAAACAUACGAAGCGCGCGUCUUAGUUGCUUAGCACACACAAUUAAGUCCUGAAAGCAACGAACGUGACCGCAACCUCUUGUUGCCUUUUGUACAAUCUCGAGUAUUCGCUAUGGGUAUAAUUUAUUGUAUUCCACUGUGUAAUAUUUUGGGAAAAAGAGGCUUUUAAACUAGAGGGACCGCUGUAACUUCUUUAAACCAGAGGAAGGUUGCGGCAAUAA
rnacentral:rRNA from 1 species